rnacentral:rRNA from 1 species
GACUCCGGUUGAUCCUGCCGGACCCGACUGCUAUCAGGGUGAGACUAAGCCAUGCGAGUCUACACUCUGAGCCAUGGCAGGGUGUGGCGUACGGCUCAGUAAUACACGGUCAACCUACCCUUAGGACGCGGAUAACUGCGGGAAAGGUGAGCUGUAAUUCUAAAAUACGACAUAAAUAGCAAUACUACAUUAAACACAUAGACUUAUAUUUAGAAGUAUUCUUUCACCUCUAUUCAAUAUUCAAUUCUUCCAAUAAUCAUUCCAAUGCGGCUCACCCCCGAGACUGCGGAUAACCCGCGAUAGGAGAGAAGGCCUGGGAUGGUUUCUCUCCGAAAGGGCUUCAGAGCCAUGCUCUCUGAAGCCGCCUAAGGAUGGGACCGUGACCGAUCAGGUAGUUGGUGGGGUAACGGCCCACCAAGCCUAAGACCGGUGCGGGCCGUGAGAGCGGGAGCCCGGAGAUGGACCCUGAGACAAGGGUCCAGGCCCUACGGGGCGCAGCAGGCGCG